AGCAGAGAGCCCACGGAGGAGCCAAAGGAUCCCCCGGCUGCCCCCCGCCCGGCCCCGCCGGGUUAAUAUACCCCGGGCGGGGCUCCGGAGGGGGCGGCACCCACCUUUUAUUGGGGGCUUAGAAGGCCUUCCCGGAGCCUUGAUUUUUUAAAGAUUUUCUUGGGGAAAUUCUCCACCGCUUUAAACAGUUGAGGGCCGGUUUUAGGGGGUUCCUGGGGAAUUUUAGGGGAGCCCGGGAGGAGGUUAAGGAGGGUACUUCAGGGGGUAGAAGUGAAAUUUUUUUUAAUCCUUGGGGGGCCCCCCCGAUGGUGAAAGGCAUCUUACCAGAAACGGGUUUCGACAGUGAGGCAAUGGAAAGCUGGAGGGAGCGAACCCCGCUUUAGAUACCCCCGGUAGUCCCCAGGCCGUAAAACUAUGCGCCGUGGGGGGGGGGGGGGGACACUACCCAGUUACCGGAAAAGAAGAAAGUGAAAAACGUGAAAACGUGCCGCCUGGGAUGUGCUCCGGGGGGGACAUGAAACUUAAAGGAAAUGGCGGGGGAGCACCACAACGGGUGGAGCCUGCGGUUUAAUUGAAAAAAAAAACCGGGCAGCUCACCGGAUAGGACAGCGGAAUGAUAGCCGGGCUGAAGACCUUGCUUGACCAGCUGAGAGGAGGUGCAUGGCCGUCGUCAGUUCGUACUGUGAAGCAUCCUGGUUAGUCAGGCACCGAGCGAGACCCAUAAUCGGAUCCCUGUCCCGUCUACGCAGAGGCCUCA
rnacentral:rRNA from 1 species